rnacentral:sRNA from 1 species
ACAGGGCAUGGUGGAGCGUGCCUGUAAUCCCAGCUACUCAGGAGGCUGAGGCAGGAGGAUUGCAAAUUCAAAGUCAGCCUCAGCAUCUUAGUGAGGCCCGGAACAACUCAGCAAGACCUGUCUCUA